UGUUUUUGGUCCCUGCAAAUAUAGUGAGUUUGGGUUUUGGUCCCUGGUAAUAUUUUUUUUUGAAAUCGAUCCCUGCAAAAAAUUUUGUUUUUUAAAAAAGUCCCUGGACCCACUUUCUUGCUGAUUUGGCACAUUUUUGCUUAGGUGGUAGCUGAUGACUGUACCAACUUGAACAUGUGGCGCACACAUGGAAUUUAAUUUAUUUUAAACAUUUUAUAAAUCCUUUUAAUAAAAUUAAAAUUAGUUUUUCAAAACUAAAAAUAAAUUUAAUUAAAAUAAAUAUAUAGAAGAAUUAGAAUCAACAUAUUCAUUAUCUCUACAAAAAAGCAGUGCAAACUUGGAACCAGAAAAGCAAUUUAUUCAUCUUUCCUCAGCUGCAUUCAUCAUUGGUUCUUCACUAGGUUACCCCAGAAUCCAUCAAAUCCCCACAUAAAUCACCUCCGAUCUCGUCAUCAACCACCAUCGCUCUCUAUAUUCCUCCGGCCACAUUUGUUUCAUCACUCCUCGAAAGAUGAACGAUUGAGGGAUUGAAAUGGAUGGUCGAUUCAAACGAUGAACGGCGAAGAAGAAGAUGAAGAAUGAUGGAGGGAUGGAGAUUGAUGAAGAAGAAGAAGGGGGAAAUUGGAAACCCUAAGAUUUUCCCCUUUCCACCAUCUGGGUUCGGGUUUCGCUUGCCGGUGUAGCUUGUUCCGAUUCUCGUCACCGCCGUCUUCUUUGUCGUCUAUUUAUACAGCU
rnacentral:lncRNA from 1 species